rnacentral:rRNA from 1 species
UGGGGAAUAUUGGACAAUGGGCGAAAGCCUGAUCCAGCCAUGCCGCGUGUGUGAAGAAGGCCUUUUGGUUGUAAAGCACUUUAAGUGGGGAGGAAAAGCUUAUGGUUAAUACCCAUAAGCCCUGACGUUACCCACAGAAUAAGCACCGGCUAACUCUGUGCCAGCAGCCGCGGUAAUACAGAGGGUGCAAGCGUUAAUCGGAAUUACUGGGCGUAAAGCGCGCGUAGGUGGUUAUUUAAGUCAGAUGUGAAAGCCCCGGGCUUAACCUGGGAACUGCAUCUGAUACUGGAUAACUAGAGUAGGUGAGAGGGGAGUAGAAUUCCAGGUGUAGCGGUGAGAUGCGUAGAGAUCUGGAGGAAUACCGAUGGCGAAGGCAGCUCCCUGGCAUCAUACUGACACUGAGGUGCGAAAGCGUGGGUAGCAAACAGGAUUAGAUACCCUGGUAGUCCACGCCGUAAACGAUGUCUACCAGUCGUUGGGUCUUUUAAAGACUUAGUGACGCAGUUAACGCAAUAAGUAGACCGCCUGGGGAGUACGGCCGCAAGGUUA